rnacentral:lncRNA from 1 species
UAGGAACCAAAUAAAAACAAGGUGCAUAGCCUCUUACGACCAAGAAGAAAGAUUUAUAAUAAAAUAUUGAAAGAAUUUGCUCAAAAGGAAAUAUGAAGAGAAAUCAGCUAGCUAAUUAACGCGCAACAACAAACUUCAGGUGCAGGAAAAAAAUUUAAAGGAAGCCAGUGCCUUGGGGAGUAGGGCAAGUACUCUACAUGUGUAUAUAUAGCUGUGUAUCGGCUAGCAAACUUCAAUUUGUUACAAUUAACACAAAGUUCCCUGGCCACUGAUGGAUCAUUAAAAAAAAAUGGUUCGAUUAAUGGUAAGUGCGAUGGUCUUACCGUUGCUUGCACUGUGGCGAAGAUGGCGAUGGUGAGAUACCUGUCAUGAAGCAAAGGAAAGGGUUAAGAGAUCAGAAAGCAGGCACUAAUCCUGAAUUUAGAAACAAAUAUAGCACAAAAUAAAGACCGAGAGUGCAAAAAACUGGUUAAACCUUCCAAGAAAGGUGUCAGCAAUAAAGCCACCAAGCAGACAAAGCAUGAAAGAUGUUCCAAGGAAGUUGGUGACGGUGUUGGCAGAGGUAGCAUUGCCCAGGUGCAUAGUACCAGUCAGAUACGUCACCAGAUUAACAGCAAUACCAAGUGUUGUUAGUCUCUCCAUUGCCUCUCCGCCUGAUAAAACCGAGAACAGGAGAGUGAGAGAUCAGAUAGAGAAACAUAUACAGAUAAGUAAGAUAUAUAAAGAUCAUAGAAAAUGAAGUAGGGGGGGUGUGCUAAUUAAUUUCGGACCUAGAAUCAUGGCAGCACUGGUCCAGCCACCAGUUUUGGACCGCUCCGCAGGGCGGCCCUUGUAGUCCCAAGCAUCUGGGAGGGUCUUGCCUUGUGUUUCUGGAAGAGACAUUGCUUUGGUUUUAAUUUUGGAUCGAAGCCUAAGAACUAGAAAUACGAGAGACUAGAAAAGAAGAAACUAUGUGGCACAUUGAAUGCUUUGGAACUUCCCCUUUUUAUAGGGGAUUUAAGGGGAUCUAAUUAUGUUAAAAAUAAACGAUAAGGUAGUUGUAUUUUGUAUAAAGUGAAAUGUGCCAGCUUAUGUUCAAUGAAAAUUUAUUCAGUAGUUCACUGUAGACUCCAACACUUCUUCUUGUUUAUGUCCCUAUAUAUAUAUAUUAUAUAUAUAUAUAUAUAUAUAUAUAUCAGAUUUAGAGGCGGCAAUUUAAUAACAAUGGAUAUUGAUUUGAGUAUUUUUAAAAUUAAAAGAUAAUAAAUAAGAUAUAAAUAUUACCGAAUCUAAUCUUAAAUAGAUAUUUAUAUUAUAUAAAUAUAUUUAUAAAUAUAUUUAUAAAAUAUUUAUAUUUUUUAACAUGUAUGCAUGCUUUAAUAUUAGCAUAAAAACACAAACACAAACAAUAUUUAUCAUUUUAUUAUUUAAUAUACAUAUACAUACAUCUCAUAUAUAUAUAUAUUUUUAUUUAUAUAUAUUUUUAUUUUUUUAUUGAUUAGUAAAUAAUACUAGAUAAUAAAUAUAUUCAAAACUUGAUGAGUAAUUUAUAAAUAUUUAAAUUAUUUAUUUGAUAAAUAAAAAAAAUAUAUAUAAAUAUAUAAAAAAAACUCAACUCACACGCUACCAUGGUCAUUUAUGAUUAGGUGUGUGUUUGAUAUUGUGGUAACUGUUGUGGUUGUGAUUUUUUAAAAAAUUAUUUUAUAAAAAGUACUUUUAGUUAAGGUUUGUUUGAAAAAAAAAAUAUUUGGUUAAAAUUAUGGUUGAAAUUGAGGUUGAACAAAAAGUAGUUUAAUGUGUUUCAUUAAAAAUACCUUUUAAAUUAAGGUUAUAAAAUAAUCAAUAUAUAUAUAUAUAUAUAUAUAUAUAUAUAUAUAUAUUGAUGGUUUUAAAUUUAAUUAUUGUAGAUUUAACUACUACUAUUACAUCAUGAAAUAAAUAAUACUUAUAUCAAAUAUUUUUUUAUUGUUCCAUUAAACUAUCUACAAUUUCAUUACGUAUGAAAUUCAUCCAACAAAGACUAUAGUUUCUUAAGCGCGCACCAACAUCAGGUAAAAUAUCAUCAGGAACAAAAUUGAAAUUGCGAUCAAAUUCUGUAAAUGUUACGUUAUCAAGCGAUCUAUUUCUAAUUUAUAUAAUGUUAUUAAAUACUAGUUUUUGAGUAAAACACAAUUAAAAAAAAUUAAAUUUUUUUCUGGUCGGAUGUGAUUCAAUGAACCACUUGUGAAUUACUUCAUUUGUCACUGUUCAUAACAUUCAAUGUCCCUCUUUUCUCUGUCUUAAAGCCAUUUAAUUUCACCUUUAAUAAAUUAUAUUUUGAUAUCUUACCCAAUUUCUAUCUCUUUCCUUGUACAUAGCAAGAAAAACAUAGCACGUCCAUGGCCGGUAACAAGUUUGCAACCAUGCUGAACAGAAACACCAACAAGAUUGCUCUCCUAGUCUAUGCAAUCCUUAAAUGGAUUCUGAUCAAUCUCGCAAGAUAUGUGUGAGGACUGGUCAUCCUCAUCUAACUGCUCAGCCUUGAACAAGUUUGCUUUUUUUUUUUUUGGAUGAAGCAACUUCAUGACCUUCAAGAUUCUAGGACUUGAAAUCUGCACAGCAGGUCUCGAGUGAGUUUGAGUCAGGGCGUGCGUUUCUUGUAAGAGUCUGGAACAACCAGGGUUUUAUUCACUUACUUGGACUCACAAAGUACACUUUUCAGGAAGUGGUGUUUUCUCGAAUCCAAAAAAAAAAAAAACUUUAUGACCUUCAAGAUUUGGGGUGGUAAGCUAAGUGAAAUUGGUGAGGAGGAUUUGAAGUGUUCUUGUAGUGGUGUUUGCUUGGACAUGAAACUAUUUUGUGAUGAUUAUUUUUUGUUCAGCCUUCCUGGGAUGACUCAGUUUUUACCUAAAAAGAAAUUUGGUUUUGGAUCAUCAAGUUGAUGAUAAAGCUGGUGUAGAGGAUCAUCCUGAUAGAGAAAGCUUAAGAAGUGAAUAAUGCAGGAUAUGGCAACAAGAGGUAAUGAAAAGUGAAAAGCAGUAAUUUUCUGCUCCACCAAAACCUGCAGUGCAAAUAUAAUUUUUAAUGGGACCCACCUUUAAAAUCUCUGUUUAAAAUAUUUAUCAAAUAGCUAUUUUUUUGUGGUUGGAACAAAACACAGUUCCAACCACAAUACCAAACAGUGAGCCACGGUGUGAUUGGAAAAGUUUUUGUUUUGGGUGGCAGCUGGAAUUUGGAAGAAAGAGAUGGCAGAGGUGGAGAGCGAAAAACUUUUCUUGGAGGGGCCAAGUUAUUAUGAGACUUUAAAGAGGAAAUAAAUAAUUUUUAAGGGGCGAGGGUGAGAAAUAUGCGAAACUUAAGAACCAUAUUAACAAUACUCUAAAACAAGCAGGGAAAGUAUUAUAACUUUCCCCGCGUAUUUUUAUUUUUUACAUUUUUUCCCGUUCCCCGCAUGUUUUUUUUCCUAAUAAAAAAACCUGAAGAAACCAACUGCCAUGUAAAAAACUGGAAUAAUUACAGACAGGAUUGUACUUAACAUGGCUUUCAGAUUCAACCACGAUGUGUUCUAGUGUUGAAAUGCAGGUUCAAAUAUUCUUGGAUGCUUUCACAUUUAUUUAUAAUGUUGUUCUUUAUACUGAUUUUUACCAUGUCAAUCCAUUAUGGGUUUUUAACUUAUCUGGCUAGUAAAUAAAAAUAUAUAUUUAUGUGAGACCUGCUCUGCUCACACGAGCAAGAUUUUUUUCCUAAGUUCAAUUCUUUAUUUAGUUCCUCAUUUUUUUUUACUUGAUUUUAGUUCUUAUUUCAUCUUUUGUUUUUGUGCAAUUUUUUUUUUAACUAAAGUUAAUAUUUAUUUUUCGAGUAAUGCUUAGAAAAUAGUUAUUUUUCAUCCAAUUUAAACACAAGCAAGUUUAAUAAUAAAAUAAUAAUAUUAAAAUUAACUUAAAUAUAAAAUUUGAGGAAGGAAGAAGGAAAAAGAAAAUUCCGACACAAUAACCAAAUCAUGGCAUAAAAAAGAAAACAAAGAAAGGAAAUAAUGAGAUAUCAAGAACACCAUAACUCCAAUAAUAACAUAUUUAAUACUAUCAGAAGGAGACGAAUCCAUAGUAACUCCUUCGAUAACAAACAUGGUUUUUAUGUUUUUUUUUUAAUUAUCUUUAUUGAUUUUAUUUUUUAAAUAUUGAGUUGAUUGAAAAUUACAACUAUAGUUUUCCUCACAAAACAUUGUGGAUUGCUAUAGUAUUUUUUUAUAUUAGUAUUUUUUUCUUUUUUCUUUUUCAUGAUUUUUGGUUUUUUAUAUGAUUUUUUUCAAAAAAAAAUUUGUUGCUUUUUUUAUAUAUAUAUAUAUUAAGUUGGUUGAGAAUUUUGCAUUAUGUUUUUUUUAUAUAAAAAAAACACUGUGGAUUGUUACAGUCAUUCUCCACAUAAUUUUUUUUGUUAUGAAUUUUUUUAAAAUUAUCUUUGUCAAUUUUAUUUUUUUAAUAUUAAGCUGAUUGAAAAUUAUAACUGUAUAUUUUCUCAUGAAACACUAAAGAUUACUACAGUGUUUCCCUGCAAGGUUUUUUUUCCUUUACUUUUUUAAUGUUAAUUUUUUUUCUAAAAUUUUUUUUGUAGUUUUUUCUUGAAAACAUUGUAGAUUGCAACAGUAUUUCUUCAUAUAUUUUUUUUUUUAUAAAUUCACAACAAUAUACAAGCAUGCCACAAGCUUGCGGCAACGCGAGGACAUUACAUCUAGUUUGUAUUGAGUUGGAAGGAAUCCAACAAGACAUAAAACACCGAAUGAAAUAAUGUUUUUAUCCUUUUCUUUUCUUUUCAUUUCUCAAUAAAAAUUAAGACUAUGUUGUCUUUUUAUAUUUGUUUUAGCAUAGUAAAAUUAUUUAUUAGUUAGUAACUCAGUCUCAUAACCCAUGUUAUAAAUUUUAAAAAUUAGCUCAAUUUGAUUUGGCCUCUUUUUAGUUUUUAUAAAAUGUUUUUUUUUUAUUUCAUUGUUCAACACUAGAUUAUAUAACAUUCAACUUCAAAAUUUUUAUCACUUUUCUUUCUAUAGGGUUAUCAUGAUCUUAUAUUUUAGGUCACAUGUUCUUCUAAUUAACCUGAGUUGACUUCGAGGUUUUUUGACCUUCUUUUAAUCAAGUUUUUCUUUAGUUUUUUUUUUUUUAAUUUGCUUGAAAGUUGUCCUGCAUUGUUUUUAAUUUCUUUUACACAGAGUUAUCUCGACUUCACAACCAUACUGUAAAUUUAGCAUGCUGACUUGAAUAAAGUUUUUUUAUCGUUAUUUAAAAUUGAUUUUUUUUCGAUUCAUCAUUGAGUGUUUGAUUUGCUAGUAAUUAAAUUUCUGAUUUUUAUUUUUAUUUUUAUAAGAUUAUCAUGUUCUUAUUUGAUUUUUGUUUUGUUAUCAAAUAGAUUAUUGAGACCUUUUAAUAGUAAUUACAGAUAUUUUACAUUAUUUUUUACCCUAAAAAUAGUAAUUACAUACAAAUUUUGAUAUUUUAUUUUUUUAUACUAUUAGUUUUUCAUUCUUACCAAAUAAAAAUUCUAACAUACAUCACUCACUUUCUUUAUAGUUAUUCAAUAUCUUCAUUAUUUUUUGCAGAAUUAUUUUAUUUACUUAAUUGUUAACAUUUAUAGAUUUUAAAGGGUCAUGACAGAGUCCAAUGCGCAAUUUUGUAAAAAUAUGCAUAAUUUUUUAUUUGCAUGUUAGAUUGUACUGUAAAUUUUUCAAAAGUUUAUAAACGCUUUGUUCCAUGGAAGUCUAAAAAAGACAGCUUUAUUAAAGUUUGGGAGCAUGCUCAAAUUUGACACAGAAAUUAUUGCUCAAGAUUUUUUUUUUUUUGUAUUUUGAUUCCCUUUUCUAUUUAAAUUAGAACUUUUAAAUUAAAUAUGAUUUUACUAAUUAGAUUUUUUUUAUAUUUAAAACAACAUUUUAGGCUAUUUUCAUUGAAUUUUAAUUAAAUAGACUUUUCAGAAUAUCAGAUAAUUUUCUUUAUAUGUUAGGGUUGUAGCUAUGAGUUUGAAAAUUCCUAAUUGUUUUUUCUAGAUUUUAUAAAAAUUUAAGGAUUGAUGAACCUUAUUCAUGUUGUAUGUUGUUAAUUGGUAUAAAAGUAAAUUAGUCUAUUUAAUGGAUGAAAACGCUAUUAACUCAUUUCAUGAAAUAGGAGUGGAGGUCAUCUUAAUCACUAUAAGAGCUCCAGAGGUAAUGUAAAAAAAUCUAUCAUAAAAAUUUGAUUGACAAGAGCAUUCCAUAGCAAACUUAAUUAAGCAGAUGGAUCAAUUACAAUGGAGAGACAUAAACAAAAAUCAUGAAGAGAAGAGAAACAUGCUUAGAAACUUUUUUCAAGUUAGGCCCAACUCCAUACAUAAGGUUCAGAAAAGACCCUGUAAGGUAAGUAAAACCAAGAAACAAUUUAAGAGAAUUUAUAGAAUUCACUUUACAUGUCCAUUUAGAUAACCACUUAUCUAUAUAAAGGGUGUUGAUGAGGAUGAACUUGAUAAUAGUCAUAGAGCCUUACCAGAAUAAGAUAGACUAUCACAAAAUAAGAGCUACAAAUCCAUCAACAUUAAAUAAAAAAAUAAAAAUGUAAGUAAUAACCUUACGAAGACAAGGAUGAACUAUGGAAACUUGAUUCACAUAACAAAGAAUAUUUAUAUGAUGAUGGAAAAACCUACAUGAUUAAGAAGAUAUUGUUAUUACCAAAGGAUGCAGAGAAUUCAUAGCAAAACAUGUUAGUUUAUACCCGAUGCAUCAUAAAAUAAUAACCUGUUUGAUUUGACUAUUAAUAAUGAUAAUUGUGAAAAUAUUAUUAAUAAAAAAACUAUUGAUAAAUUUAUAUUAUAAUUAUAACUACAUCUCAAAUCAUAUAAGUUUGGGUUGAUUAAAGUAGUAGCAGAAAUAAAAGUAAUACAGUGCUAUAAAAAAAGAUUGUUGGAGCCUCAAUGUUGUUACUUUGUUACCAUGAGCCAGCUCACUACUAUGCUUCUAACACAAUUGUGGAUGGUGGUGUUCUGUCACUGGAGAGAGUUACACAUUCCAUUAGAACGCACUGACUUCACCUCACAUGCUAGCAUGUUUAUUGCAUGCACCAGCUCAAUCCAUAAAAUGUUUUUAGUUUUAAAUAUAACCUCUCAAGUUUUAAUUAUUUUACAAAACUGAACAUCAAACAUGUGUUGAAAUUUUUUAUUAAUAUUGUGGGAUCCCUAUAUCAAAGCAAAAGAAAAAAACUAUCCAGUCCAAUCUUAAAUAAAAUUAAUGUGAACGGAUCAAUUUAAAGAAAAAGCAUUGAGAGGCAAAAAAAAAAAAGGGCGGAAUCUUUCCUCUGCCCAUGCAACUCAAUCCCUAAUGUUCACAAGAGAAAGGGGCUUAAUACUUAUCUAGUGUUUAAAUUUUAUUCUUAUAGUUUUAAUUGUUUUAAUAAAAUUAAAUUUUAUUAAUUUUUAUCAAAUCAAGCAUCAAUUAAUAUUUGAUUUUGUUUCUUGACACUGCAAAUAGUCAAUACCAAUCUAAACAAAACUAAAUAGCAAAAUCCAAUCUGAAAUUAAUCUAAUUUAAAUGGAUAAAAUAGAUUAAGUAUCCGAAAAAAACAGAAGAAAAAGGAAUGAGAAAAAAGAGCACGGUGUUUCCUCUCAUAUUUUACAGAGAAAGGCUAUUAUUGCCUUUCAGUUUCUUGUUUAAUAGAAUUACAACCCACUCUUUCAGUUUAUAGUAUUUAUUAUUCCAUACUUUUUAAUUGACAAUCUCCUUAUCAAGCGAAGAAGAUACAUCAUACAACCACAAAGCAGAUGCAUCAAGUUUAAGAUAUGACAUCAACCGAAUUGCUUUCUCGUUGCGGUGUGAGUUGUUAAAAUAUCCAAGUUUUUAUUUUUCCACUCCAAUGUAUUUCCGUUGAUGGUUUUUUUAUUAAUUAGUUAAGGAUUUUUUUUAAUCAAAUUGUAUAUCAAUACUGAAUUUUUUUUUUUUCAAGAACAAUCGAUAUUCAUAUCGUUUGAUGCAAGAAAAUAAAUUAUUCUGGAAGCUAAUUUCAAUGUUCAAUCUUAAAAAAAAGAAGAAGAAGAAAACAGAAUGCAUCAUGAUUUAUUGACUUAACUGCUGAUUAUAUGAACAAGAAAUUAUUAGCUUUCCUAUUUAAGCUAGAUUAGACUAUUUAUAUGGUUUGUAGGGACCGGGGGUAUCUUCUCGAAGAUCCAUUAAGUUCAACGAGCAUACAUAUGCUGGUUAGUAUAUAUUUUUUUUUAAAUAAGUCAAUAUAUUAAAAGAACUAAUUAGAAAUUAAUAAAAAAUAAGAUACAUUAAAGAAAAGCAUAAAAGAAAAGAAAAGAAAAUCACAAAAACAAAAGACAAACACAAAAUGAAAGGAAAAGAAAGUCAAUAGAUACAUAACAGAAAAAGAACAUCAAGAUUGAAGAAGCUGAUACGCAUGCUUAAAUCCUUGAUUUAGACAAAUUAUAAUACAUUCGGUAUAUAAUUAAAGUAGUGCCAGUAAUCAUGAAGAACUUAUCUGUAGACUUGAGCCAAUUUAAAAGGCAAUAAAGAAUUAAGGAGAAACUAUCUUCGAAGAUUGUAGUUCUAUCAUUGAAGAUUACCUUUGUCAUAACCCAAUUUUUGACCAUUUUAUUUUUUUUAUUAUUAUUUUAUUUAUUGAAAUGGAUAAAAAAAUUGAUGAAAAAAAUAAUAAUAAUGAUAAAAAAACAAGUAAAAUGAAAUAAAUGAAGAAUAAAUUAAAAUUUGGGUUAAGAGCAAUAUGAUUGGAAGUUUUGGGGUUUAAUUAAACGUUGAAAUUAAUCUAAUUAAGCUUUGAAUUAAUUUAAUUAAUCCAAGGGUUUAAGUGGAGAAUUGAUAAAUGUUUAGAUUUAAUUAAGCUUGAAAUUAAUUUAAUUCAUCCAAUUAAGGAUUUAAUUGGAGAAUUAAUAAGUUUUGAGACUUAAUUGAGCUUGGAAUUAAUUUAAUUAAUCCAAUUAAGGGUUUAAUUGGAGAAUUGAUAAGUUUUUAGACUUAAUUGAGCUUGGAAUUAAUUUAAUUAAUCCAAUUAAGGGUUUAAUUGGAGAAUUGAUAAGUUUUUAGACUUAAUUGGACUUUGGAUUUAAUUAAUGAAAUCAGGGACUUAAUUGAAGAAAUAGCAAUGUUUGGGGUUAAUUGAGGGCACAAUUGCAAUAAAUUAAAAUCCAAGGAUCAACGUGUAAAUGGUGCUGAUAUGCAGGGGUUCAAUUACAAUUUACCCAAGGACUGUACUGACAAAAUGCAACCGUUCAAGGAUCAAAACGCAAAUUGCCAUUAACAUCAGCACUGUUCAUCUUCUUCACCCGAAAACAAGAAGAAAACGCAUGCAUUUAUUGCAUUAAAAUCCAUGCAACCGCAUGGCAUUCUCUGGUUAUAAAAACCAGAGAAGGAGAACCGGCACAAGGGGGAGAAAAAAAGGCAGAGAGGGAGACUGGAAAGGACACGAAAAAAACCAGACUUUGUUUCCUCUGUUUCUUCUCAAGGAAACAGAGGAGGUAAAAAAAAAAAAAGCAACGAACAGGGGGCAGAAAAACUGGAGCAGUGAUGACAGAACCGAGGGUCUGAGGAGGAGAAAAAAAAGACAGAACCAGGGAGAAAACUGGGGAGAAAACAGGGCAGAACCGAAAGGAAAAAAACCACGAACGGCGGAAACCAAACCCAGGGGGGAGGAACCACAGAACCGGGGGAGACUAAAGGAAAAGAAAAGGAGCAGACGUUCGUUCCCGAACAGAGAGGUGAACGAACCCGAACAGAGAGGUGAACGAACCCGAACAGAGGAAGAACGCAGAAAAAAAGCAGGAGACCUGGAGAAGACAGAAACGGAGAGAAGCAUUGGCCAGCUAACACACGAGUACCAGCCUCGUCUCCGGUUGUACCACCCCCUCCCCUGAGCAGACGGACAGAACGCAAUCGGGGAGGAAAAACAGAGAAAUUACAGAAGGGCAGAGGUAAAUAACGAACAAAUGCUGGGGGGCUGACUGAUGCAAUCUUCAACGGGAGAGGAAUGAAAAAAACAAUGAGGGGCUGACUGAAGAAAGCUCAACAGGGAAUUGAACACGAAGAAAAGUCAGGGGAAGGAGACUAGACAGAGAAAUAUCAUGACAUAUACUUUGUCAGAGACUUCAAUGAAUGAAUAGAAAGAACUGUGAUUAGAAUCCUAAUAAAUGCACAAGGGUUUGCCUGCACCACUUUCUUGUCUAAAGGGGAAAUUACAAGUUUUAGAAAUUGUAACACUUAAAGAAAAAUAUAUUCCAGUCAAACUACUAUGCAGGGUUCGGGAGUAAAUUUCUAUUUAAAAUUAUUCAAACAAAAUUGAACCUUGCUUUUAGUUCUUCACUAAGUGAAACUAGCCAAACAAUGUCCUUGGGGAAGAUAUAGGACCCUGUCUGGUCAUGAAUGCUUUUCUCUCCAGACAGAGUACAUUUCAACGAUAUUUUGAGUUGAAACAGGUUAGUCACCACCCAACUCUCAUUGCCUGCCACUGUGAAGGUAGAGGGUGGAAGUUCUGGGGUGACAGCAACCUCCGCACAAAAUUUUGGGGGCGGUCGAUUCAGCUUGACCCUGUUGGAAUCCUGACCCUAGAAUUUGAUGAUGGUGAAAUAUUCCAGUGGAGCAAGGUAUGUACUUCUGUGUGGAUGUCUGCAUCAUUACUAGUCAAAUCUUUUGAUCUUCUAGCUUCCAUUUCUAUUAGUAUGGGGUGCAUUUGAAUUGACGCAAGAUUGCUUAUCUGUUAGGUCACAACAACGAUCUAUAAUCUUAUCCUUGGUAAAUUGUAUUGUGGUCACCAUGGGAUGAUGCAUAUACAAGGAAAUCGACAGUAUUCAUGCAAACUGAAGUUCAAAGAACAAUCCAUUCUUGACAGAAAUCCUCACCAGGUUGGUCAAUUUUGGAAAUUCUAGCUGUAUGCAUGAGAUCUGACAUGUAUUUUAAUUUUCUGAUAAGUAUAAUGCUUUUCACUAGCCUGAUCGGUGUACAUCUGGUAGGUCUGCUGUCAACAGAUCAUUAGGAUACAGCAUUGGUCUUAGUUCUGAGUUAUUUUUGAAUAUAUAGCACAAUUCAUUAGUGUCCAGUAUUUAUAGGUUCAAGGGUUCGUUGAAGAUGCUUCUGGUAAUAAAGUUGCUUCAUUAUUUGGGAAGUGGGAUGACAGCAUGUAUUAUACUACUGGAGAUGAGACUGGCAAGCCAAAGGAUCGGAUUCCCUCAUCUAAUGCCACCUUGCUUUGGAAAAGGAACAAGCCACCUCUUAAUCUCACCCGGUACAACUUGACGACAUUUGCUAUCACCCUAAACGAAUUGACGCCAGGACUCCAGGUAGUGAUGAUGUAUCAACUUGAUUUUCUAAUUUUUCUUUUCCAGGUAUGCAUCUCUAAUUGUUUUUUAUAGCCAUGUCUAAUCCUGGGUAUUUGAUAACGGAUUAAGGAGAGGCUCCCACCCACGGAUUCCAGGCUUAGACCAGACCAGCGGCAUUUGGAGAAUGGGGAAUAUGAGAAAGCAAAUGCAGAGAAACAACGGCUGGAGAGGAGGCAAAGAAUGGUAUAUUCACUCCUUUUGAUCUUUUUGAACUUAAUUAUACACUUCAUUUUAGUGCAGAUAUGUUGGAAUAAUUAUAAGAAUAGGGAAUAUGAGUUGAACUUUCCAUUGGUGAUGGAAGAACUUCUUUUUUGCCCCGGCUAAGAUUUGAACUUUAUUACAUAUCUAGUGUGACUUUGCUGUUGCUUGGGCUGCAUAUGAACUAGAUGAGAUAUGAACAAUUAGGCCAUCGUAUAAUUUUUUGUUAGUUUACCUAUCUGUUGCACCGAUGUCUAGACUUCUAUUAACAUCAUUUGUAUCCUACUUAUCAGUUUAGAUCUGGAAGACAUCGUAUUUAAGAAAUUCUUUGCAUGGCUAGAUAUGAACAUUAAGAGGUGGAAUGAGUCAUAAAUCUUAUAUAUGCACUCGCAAGACCCGUUGUCAUCAUAUUUCAUUCAUUCUAUGCAGUCAAGGAAAUUACAAGAACAUGGAUGGAAGCCCAGAUGGUUCCAAAAGGAAGGUGAAAAUGGAUCUUUCCGCUAUGGUGGUGGCUAUUGGGAAGCUCGAGAGCAGGGAAAUUGGGAUGGAUGUCCAAAUAUUUUUGGUGAAUUCAAUGAAGACCUAGUGGAAUCCUCUGAAGGGCCCUGACUUGAUUUAGGUGUGUAUUCUUGCAGAAAACUGCAUUUUCACACUCCUUUGAAUGCGGCUCCUCCUUUAGCUGAUGAAUUGCCAUAGUGGAUGCCUGAAAUUUUUUGCAAUGCUGCACCAUUGUUUAUGGUGAGACUUGAACUUAAAGCAUGUACAAGAUUCAAUAUGGAGGACAAUAUCCAGGUCUAAAAAUGCAUCUCACCUGUCUUGGCUUGCGCUUUCCCAUGCCAUGCUGACUGGUGAAAAGGAUAAACAAUGAAAAAGUUGAUGCAUAUUAUGAUUUUAACUGGACCCCUCUAAGCUUAAUUUUACCAUUCAUAGAAUAAUUCCCUCUGUUUUCAACGAAAUGUCCAAGCAGUUCAAAAGCGGAAAUCAAAUCCGACUACAGCAUAUUGCUCCAACUCCUACUCUUCUUUUAGACCUGACCUGAUUAUGUGCUUGUUGAUAAUGCAGAAAGGGGUGUCCCAGAGCAAGCUGUGCACUUUAAUUUGGUCGGGUUUAUCAUAUUCCAGCCUUUUUUAAAAGGUUUUAGUCCAAGUUUGACAAUGUUUUUCUUGUGGGCGCUUGAGCGGGAACUGGUUUUUCAGUUCAUAGAGGAUGGAUAGGGUUAGAGAUACUUCUUGUAACAUUCUUAAUUGUCUGCUAUAAGGUGUUAUUUUUGUAAUGUCUCUCACUCUCUUCUGUGUGUUAUAGUUCUUUGAGCUGCACUAGCCAUUGGCUAAAAAAUUUAUUUUGAUAUUUAUUUUUCUUUUUUAGAAAUAAAGGAAAUAUAUUGUUGUCAUCAUCCCAAACUCGCUACUUUUGGUUUAACAAAUUAUGUGCUUUCACAGAGCUGAAAUUGGGAGAGUUGAUUUUAGGUUUUAGCCCAUCUUAAUCAUAUAAUGAUGUGCUUCAAACCUAAUUUUACUCAUUCUAAUAAAAUUGUUUAAGGCGAGUUGCACUAUUUAUAAUAACACCGUUAAAUUAAUAUGGUAAAUUAAUAAUUCGUUAUAUUUAUAAGAUAAUACACAGGUUCUAUUUGAUAUAUAAAUUAAUAAUCUCCUUGUGUGUAUAUUUGUGUGUUUUGAGAGAGAGAGACUAGACUUUUGUAAAAUGACUCCAAUGUUACUUUUUCUCUCUUGAAAUUGAUAUCUAUUUAUACUUCAUUUCUAACUUUUCUUAGUGCAUUGAUUUUUUUUGAUAUAAUGUUCAUGUAUUGCAAGAGCAAAUUAUGCAAUGGAAUUAAUGUCUUAAGUGCAUCUUUACGUGAGACAUGCUUUAUUGCAGAACUAUUCUUGUUAAUUUUAUAUAUUUUUUAAUUAUUUUUCAUGAUGUUUUUAAUAAUUUACUCGUCACUCAACAUCUUUAAAGUUGCAUCAUAUUCUCCUGGUUAGUUUAAAAGAUGCUCAAUAUAUAUUGUAUUAUAAUAAUUCAAAUAUUUAAUUAGAACAUAUAGUUGCAUUAUGAAACUCCAUUCGAUCCAACAAAUUUUUCUUCUUUAAAUUUCACUCUAACAUUUUAUUUAUUUUAAACUGGUCAUUAUAAUUUAUUUUAGUUUGUUUUUUAUGAGGUUAUAGUAAUUUUAAAUAAAUAUUCUGAUAUUUGGUUUGUGCUCAAUUUUUACAAGUAUAUAUUUUUGUUAUCAUAUUAUUAAGUAAAAAAUAUUGUUUUUUUUUUUUUAAAAUUAAUUAAGUUCAAUGAAGCCCACAACCUAACUCAUCGGUUUUAUAAGUUAAGCCAUGAAGCUAAAAAAGAUGUUAUCUAGAUUGUAUUUGGACUAGCCAAGUCAAAUGGGUUAUAUAAAAUCAAUUUUCAUAUGGGUUACUUUUAAAUUGUUAAGUCAAAAAAUUUCAAGGUUCGACUUGUUUGGUCGAGUUUAAUAAAAAUACCAAAUAUUUUUUAAAAAAAGAAAACUCCAUCUUUCAAAUUUUUUCCCUUUUCAAUUGAAUCAUUUUUUACUUUUUUUUUUAUAAUUAAUUUUAUUCUUUAAUAUUUAAUUAUUAGAUUUUAAAAUGAUCCUCAUAAUUUAUUUUGUUUUGCAACAUAUGAAAUUAUUAUAGUUUUAAAUAAAUAUCUUGAUAUUUGAUUAGUAAUUAAUUUUACAAACAAUUAUUUUAUUAUUAUAUUAUUAAAUAAAAAAAAAUUCAAACAAAGUUAUUAAAGAGAUUGGAUUCCAUGAUUUGCUUUGUGGUUUGCUUGGUGGUUUUGAUACGAUAAUUGGGGAAGCCUAGAUUAAUAAUAUGUUAUCUUUUUAAAACACUAAAAACACUAAUUUAAAAUUAAAAACUAGGUGAAACUGCCAUGCGCUACACAAAGUGGGCGAAAAGGGUGUAAAAAAGUAUAAUAUAAAACACAUUUCAGUGGAAAGUGGGCUCAUCAACUUCGUCCAGUUCAAUUCCCUCGUCGGCGAACCUCUUGUCCUUGUAGACAUACCAUCUGGCACAAAUCAAAUAUAUGACAAAGUUCAAAGCACUCAAGAUUGCCAACAACCAGUAGAAAUCAUGGAGCCUCCCUUGGUUUAGAUUAUCCGCUAACCAUGGCUUGUUCGUAGUCACCUUGUGCACUAUAGUAACCAAUGAAGAGCUGACAAAGAACCCUAGAGAAAGGGUGCUCAAAAACAGCCCUGUGCUCAUCGUCUUCAUCCCCUUCGGACACUCUCUCAGGAAGAAAUCAAGCUGCCCUAUAUAUGUGAAAGCCUCACCAGACCCCACAAAAAAGAAUUGUGGGACCAGCCAGAACACACUCAAUGGGAUCUCGGCCGUUGGAUCAUUAGCCAAACCAUGUAAUCUGGCGGCUCUCAGCCUCUUCUUUUCGGUGAGUGCUGCUGCUAUCAUGGCAACAAUGGAUAAAACCAACCCGACUCCUAUGCGUCUUAAUGGGGUUAGCCCUUGCGGAUGCUUAAGCACUCUUCUUGCGACGGGGACGAUAAUUCGGUCAUAAACAGGAACAGUCAAAAGAAUGCUACCAACAAAGAAGACCGUCAGUGAUGCUGCAGGUAUUUGGAAAGAUUUUCCGAUGCGACGGUCCAUGGUGGUGGCUUGUGACACAGAGAAUGUGGUCAUCUGGGCAUAGACAGUCCAAAAUAUCACAGUAGUAGCCCAAAUGGGCAUCAUUCUAAUUACCAUUUUCACUUCUUCCACAUCUGUUAAGGUUGCUAAAUUCCACUUGUUUACCUUGCCCAUUUCUAGGCCCUUGAUCGCUGCUUUGUCCAAGAAACUGCACCGUAUAUGAAGAACAAAUAAAAGUUAUGGCAUGAUCAGUGUAUUAUCACGUCGUGACUCUAAAAUUGCAAGAUAACCCGUCCAUGGGCAUGGACCGACAGAUAGCUGGUGGGCCUCCUUAGCGACCAACACAUAAUUUCCUAUUUGUUUUCUUCCACUCAUUUUGAGUGACACGUACCCUUUGUUGAGUCUCAAGGUUUCCACUAUCCAGAGAAGGUUUUAAAAAAUUGAAGCUAAAACAUCUGUCACGAGAUGGCUUGGGGGGGGGGGGGGGGGAUGUGAACUGGAAGACAAAAAUCACCACAGGAGAUUCGAUUGGGAGACAGACUGGCUCCGGUGUCUUUGGUACUGCGAAAAUAAUUUAUAUUUUAAUUUUUAAUAAUACUUUUCAAAUACGAAACCAAUCCUGAUUGAUUUGUAUAUGAAUGUUAAGAUCCAGAUAUUUUAGACUGCAACGUCUUUUUGGGCUUUAGGGAUUUGAGGAUAUGGAUGAGAUCCUCAAUUAGGUCGAAAAGCAAAAACAUAAUUAUUAAUCUUCAAUGACAUGAAAGCUACCCCUUCUCUUCACAUUUUACUCUUGUAGAAAAAAAGCACUUGCUGGUAGCAAAAGCACCUUAGAAUAUAGAGAACCUUUUUUUAAAUCAAUUUAUAAUGAAAUAUUUGGUUUAGCCAUGGCUUCUGGAUCAUAAUAUAGGAGUGAAGAUCCAUUUAACAAGCCAGACCGAGAAGGAAGAAGGAUGUUCUCAUCAUAUAUUUCAAGACAAAAUGAAAUAAAUUCCAAUUAAAUAAAAAAGUUUACUAGUUGAGGAGAAAAUAAAUAAUAAUAAAAAUAGAAGUUAUUAACGUUCAAUAAAACACUAACCAGAAUUGCUUGCUGUGCGGCAGCUUUUGCUUCUUCUCCUUGCUUCCCUCUUCAACAUCAUCAACGUUGUAAAGAAGAGACGCAUCUGAAGGUAAUUCCAUGUGCCUUUUUCUCCAAGCACUCACAAAAACAGUGGCUAUCUGUGUCAAUGGACUGCCCACCAAUUUCCUGAAACGGUACCGCCUUGUGCCAGAAAGGAACACAAUUAGGCCUAGCACGAUAGCACAGGCACAUAUGCCAUAUCCCCAUUCUCUCCCCAAGUUAUCUUGUAUGUAAACCAGAACUGUCACCGCACAAAGUGCACCUAGGCUGAUUAGGAAGAAGAACCAGUUAAAGAAAUUGAGCAUCUGUUUUCGUUCUUUUGGGUCCGUUUCAUCGAAUUGAUCCGACCCAAAUCCGGAGACGCUUGAUUUUAGACCUCCAGUGCCGAGGGCAGUGAGGUACAGGGCCAAAUAAAGAACCGUGAGUUGUUCUCCGUUAGCAGGGAUGCAAUCUGUGUUGUCCACACAUUUUGGUGGCCUGAGGCUUGGGACUACGGUGGAGAUAGUCAAGAUUGUGACACCCUGAUCAACAAAAAUUAAUAAGAAAAAUGAAACAAGUGAAGUAGUAUAUUAGGAACCAAAUAAAAACAAGGUGCAUAGCCUCUUACGACCAAGAAGAAAGAUUUAUAAUAAAAUAUUGAAAGAAUUUGCUCAAAAGGAAAUAUGAAGAGAAAUCAGCUAGCUAAUUAACGCGCAACAACAAACUUCAGGUGCAGGAAAAAAAUUUAAAGGCGAAGCCAGUGCCUUGGGGAGUAGGGCAAGUACUCUACAUGUGUAUAUAUAGCUGUGUAUCGGCUAGCAAACUUCAAUUUGUUACAAUUAACACAAAGUUCCCUGGCCACUGAUGGAUCAUUAAAAAAAAAUGGUUCGAUUAAUUAAUGGUAAGUGC